GCAUAAUCAUUUGCCGUUUAAUUGAUGGCUGGAAUGAAUGAAUAUACGUAAGCUCAACUGUCUCCUUUUUACCUAUAAAAAUUGACCCCCAAGUGAAGAGACUUGGAUUGACCAAAAAGACGAAAAGACCCUAUAGAGCUUCACCUGACCUUCACUCGUCCAAGAGAAGGUUUAGUUGGGGCAACUAGAGAGUACCUAAAACCUCUCUUCCAAAAAACCUAUUUAGAUCCGUUACACGACCAGCAGAGAAAGCUACCUUAGGGAUAACAGGCUAAUCCUCUUUGAGAGACCAUAUUG
rnacentral:rRNA from 1 species